UACGUAGGCGGCCAUAUAAGUCAGAAGUGAAAGGCUACGGCUUAACCGUAGUAAGCUUUUGAAACUGUAUGGCUUGAGUGUAGGAGAGGAAGGCGGAAUUCCUAGUGUAGCGGUGAAAUGCGUAGAUAUUAGGAAGAACACCAGUAGCGAAGGCGGCUUUCUGGACUGAAACUGACGCUGAGGUACGAAAGCGUGGGGAGCGAACAGGAUUAGAUACCCUGGUAGUCC
rnacentral:rRNA from 1 species